GGCACUGUGGUUUAGUGGAAAGAGCACUAGAUUUGGAAUCAGAGGACCUGGGUUCAAGUCCCAGUUCUGUUU
rnacentral:tRNA from 1 species